rnacentral:rRNA from 1 species
UACAGAGAGCUCAAGCGUUAUCCGGAAUCAUUGGGCGUAAAGCGUACCGAUAGGUGGUCUAAAAAGUCAGAAGUGAAAUCUCAAGGCUCAACUUUGAGACUGUCUUUUGAAACUUUUAGACUAGAGGGGCAAAGAGGAAGCUGGAACGAACGGUGUAGUAGUGAAAUGCGUUGAUAUCGUUCGGAACACCAAUAGCGAAGGCGGGCUUCUGGGUGCCACCUGACACUGCUAGGACGAAAGCGUGGGGAGCGAAUGGG